rnacentral:rRNA from 1 species
AACGAACGCUGGCGGCAUGCCUAACACAUGCAAGUCGAACGAGACCUUCGGGUCUAGUGGCGCACGGGUGCGUAACGCGUGGGAACCUGCCCUUAGGUUCGGAAUAACUCCCCGAAAGGGGUGCUAAUACCGGAUAAUGUCUUCGGACCAAAGAUUUAUCGCCUUUGGAUGGGCCCGCGUUGGAUUAGCUAGUUGGUAGGGUAAAAGCCUACCAAGGCGACGAUCCAUAGCUGGUCUUAGAGGAUGAUCAGCCACACUGAGACUGAGACACGGCCCAGACUCCUACGGGAGGGAGCAGUUGGGAAUAUUGGACAAUUGGCGAAAGCCUGAUCCAGCAAUGCCGCGUGAGUGAAGAAGGCCUUAGGGUUGUAAAGCUCUUUUACCCGGGAUGAUAAUGACAGUACCGGGAGAAUAAGCUCCGGCUAACUCCGUG